rnacentral:rRNA from 1 species
CCUGUAAGACUGGGAUAACUUCGGUAAACCGGAGCUAAUACCGGAUAAUUCUUUCCCUCUCAUGAUGAAAAGCUGAAAGACGGCAUCUCGCUGUCACUUACAGAUGGGCCCGCGGCGCUUUAGCUAGUUGGUGAGGUAACGGCUCACCAAGGCAACGAUGCGUAGCCGACCUGAGAGGCUGAUCGGCCACACUGGGACUGAGACCCGCCUCUUUCUCCUUGGGGGAGGCAGCAGUAGGGAAUCUUCCGCAAUGGACGAAAGUCUGAGGGAGCACCCCGGCGUGAUUGAUGAAGGUUUUCGGAUCGAAAAGCUCUGUUGUUAGGGAAGAACAAGGUACAAGAGUACCUGCUUGUACCUUGACGGUACCUAACCAGAAAGCCACGGCUAACUUACGUGCCAGCGGCCGCGGUAUUACGUAGGUGGCAAGCGUUGUCCGAAAUUUAUUGGGCGUAAAGCGGGCGCAGGGGGCCCUUUUAAGUCUGAUGUGAAAGCCCCCGCUUCACCCGGGGAAGGGUCAUUGAAAACUGGGGGGACUUGGAGUGCAGAAGAGAAGAGUGGAAUUCCACGUGUAGCGGUGAAAUGCGUAAGAGAUGUGGAGARACACCAGUGGCAGAGCGCGACUCUUUUGGUCUGUAACUGACGCUGAGGCGCGAAAGCGUGGGGRGCAAACAGGAUUAGAUACCCCUGUAGUCCACGCCGUAAACGAUGAGUGCUAAGUGUUAGAGGGUUCCGCCCUUUUAGUGGUGCCACCAAACGAUUAAACCCUCCCCCCGGGGAGUUCCGGCCGCCAGGCUGAAACUCAAAAGAAAAUUACCGGGGGCCGCCCAAGCCGUGGAGCAUUUGGUUUUAUUUGGAGCAACGCGAAGAACCUUUCCCAGUCUUGACCUCCUUUGACACUUCCAGAGAUUGGACCGUUCCCCUCGGGGGACAGAGUGACAGGUGGUGCAUGGUUGUCGUCAGCUCGUGUCCUGAGAUGUUGGGUUAAAUCCCGCAACGAGCGCCACCCUUGAUUUUAGUUGCCAGCCUUAAGUUGGGCCCUCUAAGGUGACUGCCGGUGACAAACCGGAGGAAGGUGGGGAUGGCGUCAAAUCAUCAUGCCCCUUAUGACCUGGGCUACACCCCUGCUUCAAUGGAUGGUACAAAGGGCAGCAAAACCGCGAGGUCGAGCAAAUUCCAUAAAACCAUUCUCAGUUCGGAUUGUAGGCUGCAACUUGCCUACCUGAAGCCGGAAUCGCUUGUAAUCGCGGAUCAACAUGCCGCGGGGAAUUCGUUUCCGGGCCUUGUUCACCCCGCCCCUCACACCCCGAGAGUUUGUUUAUAUCGAAGUCAGUAGAGAAAA